CUGAAAACACCAGUGGAGAGUCAGAAUGCAGGAAUCCUUAGCUGUCUUUGUUCAAAAGGGUCAUGUAGGACUCAACAUUUAGAUUUGGAACAUUUAGAUUUGGAAAGGCUUUUGUGAAUAUUCAGAGACUCGUAUCUCAGAUAUUCUGACACUGCUUUCUGUUCGAAAAGGCUGGGAAACCUAUUUCUGUCUACAUAAAUUCCCUGAGCAAUAAGAUCAGAACACCCUGAAACGGUUUGUCUACAUUGAAUCCUGAUGUUAGAUGAAGAUGUUAUGAA